rnacentral:tRNA from 1 species
CAGAGAAUAGUUUAAUGAAAAUAUUAGUUUUGGGGAUUAAUGAUAGGAGGUUUAACUCUUUUCUCUGA